CCUACGGGGGGCAGCAGUGGGGGAUAUUGCACAAUGGGGGGAACCCUGAUGCAGCGACGCCGCGUGGGUGAAGAAGCGCCUCGGCGCGUAAAGCCCUGUCAGCAGGGAAGAAAAUGACGGUACCUGAAGAAGAAGCCCCGGCUAACUACGUGCCAGCAGCCGCGGUAAUACGUAGGGGGCAAGCGUUAUCCGGAUUUACUGGGGGUAAAGGGGGCGCAGACGGCGAUGCAAGCCAGGAGUGAAAGCCCGGGGCCCAACCUUGGGACUGCAUUUGAAACUGGGUGGCUGGAGUGCAGGAGAGGGAGGCGGAAUUCCUGGUGUAGCGGUGAAAUGCGUAGAGAUCAGGAGGAACACCGGUGGCGAAGGCGGCCUGCUGGACUGUAACUGACGUUGAGGCGCGAAAGCGUGGGGAGCAAACAGGAUUAGAUACCCGUGUAGUC
rnacentral:rRNA from 1 species